UUGUUGGUGAGGUAAAGGCUUACCAAGGCUUCGAUCAGUAGCUGGUCUGAGAGGACGGCCAGCUACACUGGGACUGAGACACGGCCCAGACUCCUACGGGAGGCAGCAGUGGGGAAUUUUGGACAAUGGGGGCAACCCUGAUCCAGCCAUGCCGCGUGAGUGAAGAAGGCCUUCGGGUUGUAAAGCUCUUUCAGCCGGAACGAAACGGUUACGGUUAAUACCCGUGACUACUGACGGUACCGGAAGAAGAAGCACCGGCUAACUACGUGCCAGCAGCCGCGGUAAUACGUAGGGUGCAAGCGCUAAUCGGAAUUACUGGGCGUAAAGCGUGCGCAGGUGGUUUUGUAAGUCAGAUGUGAAAUCCCCGGGCUUAACCUGGGAACUGCGUUUGAAACUACAAGGCUAGAGUGUGGCAGAGGGGGGUGGAAUUCCGCGUGUAGCAGUGAAAUGCGUAGAUAUGUGGAGGAACACCGAUGGCGAAGGCAGCCCCCUGGGUCAACACUGACGCUCAGGCACGAAAGCAUGGGGAGCAAACAGGAUUAGAUACCCUGGUAGUCCAUGCCCUAAACGAUGUCAACUAGUUGUCGGGCCUUAACGGGCUUGGUAACGUAGCUAACGCGUGAAGUUGACCGCCUGGGGAGUACGAUCGCAAGAUUAAAACUCAAAGGAAUUGACGGGGACCCGCACAAGCGGUGGAUUAUGUGGAUUAAUUCGAUGCAACGCGAAAAACCUUACCUACCCUUGACAUGUAUCGAAGCCCGCAGAGAAGCGGGUGUGCCCGAAAGGGAACGAUAACACAGGUGCAGCAUGGCUGUCGUCAGCUCGUGUCGUGAGAUGUUGGGUUAAGUCCCGCAACGAGCGCAACCCUUGUCAUUAAUUGCCAUCAUUUAGUUGGGCACUUUAAUGAGACUGCCGG
rnacentral:rRNA from 1 species